GUUCUGCGUUGUUCGAGUAAAUAUAGUUUUUUAUAAUCCAACACUUUAUCAUAGGGAAUACAUCUCCGGCUGCGGAUUGCAGACCUCCCGCUUUUGCGGAAGAAGGGAGCGCGAAACAGUCGGGAGUUUACCCACCUGCUUUGUGCGGGUUUUAUCCGGCUGUAUGACGGCAAUGCGGUCUU
rnacentral:other from 1 species